rnacentral:rRNA from 1 species
AUGACGAGAGUGAAGAAUAGUUACUAUGUACUUCCAGGAGAACCUGAACCGAAGCGCACCGUGUCAAACACUCACAACAUUGGGAAGGUAAUGUUCCUAACAGCUGUUGCCAGGCCUCGAUAUAACAAUGAGGGGGAGCUAACAUUCGAUGGGAAGAUCGGCAUUUGGGCAUUCAUCGAAGAGACUGAGGCGAAGUGGACAAGUCAGAACAGAAAAAAGGGAACAAAAGUGUUGACAUCAGUGAAAGUAACCAAGCCAGUGUGCAGAGAUUAUCUAAUCAAUAAGGUUAUCCCGACAAUUCAGGAUAAGUGGCCUGACGAUGAUGAGGGAGCAACAAUAUUCAUCCAACAGGAUAACGCAAAGCCUCAUGUCCUUCCCAAUGAUGUAGCUUUCCGAGAAGUUGUGGAACAAACUGAUCUUGACAUCCGAUUGCUACAACAACCCCCAAAUAGCCCUGAGUUAAAUUGUUUGGACCUCUGCUUCCAUAACUCUCUCCAGUCUCUAACUGACUGCAGGUCACCUACAAACAUCCAGGAACUGGUACAGGGCGUGGAAGAGGAAUUCGAGAACUACGAUCCCGACAAGUUGCACAGAAGCUUUAUCACAUUAGAAGCAGUUAUGUUUGAAGUUAUGAAAGACAAGGGAGGAAAUCAAUAUAAGUUGCCCCACUUGCACAAGGAUCGCGUUCAGAAUGCUGGAAUGGAAAUAACCGGUGUAUAUUGCGAUAGUCGGGUAGUUGUUGAUACUAGGGCCCUUAUGGAAUAA